rnacentral:rRNA from 1 species
UACGUAGGAGGCAAGCGUUGUCCGGAAUUACUGGGUGUAAAGCGCGUGUAGGCGGCAGGCCAAGUCUGUGGUGAAAUCGCUCGGCUCAACUGGGCGGGGUCCAUGGAAACUGGUCAGCUGGAGGACGGUAGAGGUGAGUGGAAUUCCCGGUGUAGUGGUGAAAUGCGUAGAUAUCGGGAGGAACACCUGUGGCGAAGGCGGCUUUCUGGGCCUUACCUGACGCUGAGACGCGAAAGCGUGGGGAGCGAACCGG